GUGGGGAAUAUUGGACAAUGGGCGAAAGCCUGAUCCAGCCAUGCCGCGUGUGUGAAGAAGGUCUUCGGAUUGUAAAGCACUUUAAGUUGGGAGGAAGGGCAGUAAGUUAAUACCUUGCUGUUUUGACGUUACCGACAGAAUAAGCACCGGCUAACUUCGUGCCAGCAGCCGCGGUAAUACGAAGGGUGCAAGCGUUAAUCGGAAUUACUGUGCGUAAAGCGCGCGUAGGUGGUUUUGUAAGUUGGAGGUGAAAUCCCCGGGCUCAACCUGGGAACUGCCUCCAAAACUGCAUGACUAGAGUACGGUAGAGGGUAGUGGAAUUUCCUGUGUAGCGGUGAAAUGCGUAGAUAUAGGAAGGAACACCAGUGGCGAAGGCGACUACCUGGACUGAUACUGACACUGAGGUGCGAAAGCGUGGGGAGCAAACAGGAUUAGAUACCCGUGUAGUCC
rnacentral:rRNA from 1 species